ACCAGAGAUACUAAAGAAUGUUGGAAAAGCUAUUACUGUAUUUCCAGAUAAUUUCAAGCCUCACAGAGCAGUCAAAAAAGUUUACGAACAAAGAGCACAGAUGAUUGAAACUGGAGAGGGCAUUGACUGGGCACUUGGUGAAGCCCUUGCUUUUGCCACUUUGCUUGUUGAAGGCAACCAUGUCAGAUUGAGUGGCCAAGAUGUUGAGAGAGGUACCUUUAGUCAUCGGCAUUCCGUUGUGCAUGAUCAAGAAACAGGGGCAAUCUACUGUCCUUUGGACCAUGUUAUCAUGAAUCAGAAUGAGGAGAUG
rnacentral:misc_RNA from 1 species